rnacentral:rRNA from 1 species
GAUGAACGCUGGCGGCGUGCCUAAUACAUGCAAGUCGAGCGAACGGACGAGAAGCUUGCUUCUCUGAUGUUAGCGGCGGACGGGUGAGUAACACGUGGAUAACCUACCUAUAAGACUGGGAUAACUUCGUGAAACCGGAGCUGAUACCGGAUGAUAUUUUGAACCGCAUGGUUCAAAAGUUAAAGACGGUCUUGCUGUCACUUAUAGAUGAAUCCGCGCUGCAUUAGCUAGUUGGUAAGGUAACGGCUUACCAAGGCAACGAUGCAUAGCCGACCUGAGAGGGUGAUCGGCCACACUGGAACUGAGACACGGUCCAGACUCCUACGGGAGGCAGCAGUAGGGAAUCUUCCGCAAUGGGCGAAAGCCUGACGGAGCCACGCCGCGUGAGUGAUGAAGGUCUUCGGAUCGUAAAACUCUGUUAUUAGGGAAGAACAGAUGUGUAAGUAACUGUGCACAUCUUGACGGUACCCAAUCAGAAAGCCACGGCUAACUACGUG